rnacentral:lncRNA from 10 species
CCGGGACCAGUAUGUCGUGCUCCUUGAUUUUUUUCGACCACGGUCCUGGCCCAAAUCUUUCAAUGAACAAGUUCCUUAGAUUAGGCAACUGAUUGGUGAUCUGACCUUUUCGGGAAUCUGGUCCCCUCUCAGCAGUGGGGAGUGCCACAGCGCUAGUUCUGAAACAGGAUAUUGCUGUUGCGUGUGGCUCCAUUUAACUGCCUCAGGCUAUCAUGGGCGUGAGCGUCUAUCAACAAGGCUUAGUCUAGAGGACUGCCCAACUUGAGUUUGCAGCUCCCUGCACUGUGCACAAAUAAUGGGUUUGGUCCCGUGCACCACAGCAUUACCCUGGCCAGCUUUGUCCCUUGGCUCGCGUUGGAGCUGCCCGCUCAGCAGAGGAAGGCGUUAGAAUCUGGAAGGAGUUCCGCUCUGGGAAGUGGGCACACUGCGAGUGUCCAUAGGUUUGAGUGGCGAGUGAGUUCAAUCUGCAGGCGUAGGAAGGCUUCUGAUCUCUCGGGGUUUCGAAGGGGAGUGGGCAACAAGGUAGGGACUAGACAGAGACUGGGAGGAUCAACAUGGAAAACGACAUUAGCCUGCUAAGCCACCUUGGCAGCUGCUCUGGCAUUGAUUUCAGUCAAGAUGUCAGCGUGUGGUGUUGCUGCUGUUGCCUUUGCUGGGCUGGACAACCAGUUAGAGAUGUAAACAGGCCCUUGGACUUAAUGAGGAUGCUCAGCAAAAAUCCUCCUUACCAAGUGUGCAGAGGUUAGUCACCUCAACUGAAUUUACUUCUUAUUAAAAGAAACAAAAAUAUUGGGUUUUAUGCAAUCUAUUUGAACACAUAACACAUGGCUAUACAUCCAGACAGGAGGACUUCAUGCCAAAAAAGCAAACAAACAAACCCCCCCGCAAAAAACCCUUUCUCAAAAGACAGGGUAUUUUAACAGUAAUUAUUGUGCACAAAGUAAGUAAAUUUUGAUUAAAAGACCAUAAAGAUUACUAGUAAGAUACCAAUUUCUGAUAUUUAUUUUCAAACACAUGGCUAAUCCUGUAAUCCAAUUAUCUUUCCCUAAAUGAAUCCUGCCUAUCAUUUCAUGUGAGAUUGUUAAAAGAUUUAUCUGGAAUCUCAUAAUAUAUUGAACAAUACUAUAAUAUCUAGUUUCUACAGCUCACAAUAAAUCACAAACCAUUUUCACCUGUGUCUUCCAGCUUCUGAGACAGGAUGGAAAAUAAUAUUUCACAGACGGAAAAAGUUAAGGCAUGAGGAGCUAAAGAGGUUUAUCCAAAGUCACUAUCAGGAACUUUGGUGUUUAGUCCAAUGUGUUUAGGGCUAGAUCUCACUAGUCUUUCUUGAUGAACAGUAUCCUCUUUAAGGAAAGAUUUCCAAAGGUAUUCCAGAAACACAAAAUUUUCAGCCACAA